rnacentral:lncRNA from 1 species
GCGUUAGAUGAGAUGACUGCUAGACGGGAAGACAUCAGUAGAAAACAUCUAGACUCAAGUACAGAGAGAAGAAUGGAUGGAACGUGGGGAAGGGCACAUGAGAGAUGUGAGCUAUUGGGAGGUCUGACACCGGUCGCUGAGUCCUGGAGGAACAGCAAGAAUGAGCAGAGGCGAGGGGAGAGAGAGGACGUGCAGGGCUUUCCUACACUGACAGCGGACAACCCCCAUCGCUGUGAGAAUCUCUGGACCCCAAGCAGGAUAAAUUAGAAGUAACAAACUUGAAACCUCCACCUCAGCACAUCACAGUGAAGUGCUGAAAACCGAAGACAGGAGAUCUGAGAAGCAGAGGAAGAAAGACACUCUCACCUUCAGAGGGACAAUCAGCUGGCAGCUGAUGCUAACAGAAGCAGUGGAAGGCCUAACAGUAGAGUGGCGCCUAUAAAGUGCUGAAAGAAGAUAAUUGCCAAUCAAAUUUAUAUGCUCAGUAAAGAUUCCUCAAAAAUGAGCAUGAAAUGACGUUUUCAGACAAAACAAAACUGAAGGAAUUUGUCACCAUCACACCUUCCCUAAAAAUACACCCUGAGGGAGUUCUCCAGACAGAAGGAAAACAGUCCCAGACGGAAGUAUGAUGGUGCAAGAAGGAAGGAGGAACAUUUCUGAGAAGGUUUCCAAAUGGCUGCCACAGACCCAUGAGUGGGAACAUCUGUGGCUACAGCUCCUCCUCAGGAGUGAAAGCUUUUCCAGAGCAGCCCAGCACACACCUGUCUGGCUGCAAUGGGUCCCAGAGGACAUCGCCAGCAUAUUCCUGAGGAGAGGUCACAUGACCCCGUCCUGCUGGGCUCACGGCCCCUGAUGCAGGUCUGGGUCACCUCUGGACCCUCCGUCCACUCUGUCCUGUUUGUCCCUCUGCCUCGCACAGUGCCCUGACUUUGAAAGCACUGCAGUUCAGCUGAAUCACUAGGACCGAGCCUGCAGUGAAGACGGCACAGAAGUGUCAGUGGCUGACAAGACAGCGAGGAAGUCGGGGCCACCUGACCAGCACGGAAUGCUACCGCCAGGGCCACCUUCCCUCCAUCCUCUGAGUUUUGAAGAAGCCAUCGUGUUCAACCUGUUCUAAUGGAAGUUCCUGUGCAUAGCUAGGUUUAAUGAAAACUGUAUAUGAGCUGGUUUUCAUAAUAUCUGGAGUAUCCAAACUAGUUUUUAAAAAUAAUUUUGUCAUAAAACAAUCUCAAUCUUGCAGGAUUGUUGCAAGUAUAAUACAAAGAACCUUCUUCCUGAAUCACUUGUGAGUGGCCGGCUCAAGGCCCCAUGACCCCCGCAAGCCUGCACACCAGAGCAUUUCUGUGACCGCAGCAGAGCCACCACAACCAGGGGACUCAUCUCGACAGGUCAGCCCCUCAGGAAGGUUUGUGGGGAGGAAGCAGACGGCAGGGAGAGCCUCAGACCACAAUGCAGACCUGAGGGUGCCGUCAGAGAGUCCACGUAGACCCCAGGCCCCUGCCCGCUGCAGCUGGAGGCCCUCAGUCACUUCUGCUUCACACAGGACAGCCCAGGCACUCGUCCAAGGAGUGCCAGAUGUGGCAGCAAUGCAACAACGGAUCCAGCCCUGCAGCUUAUGUCACAUUUAGUUGACAUGCCCCUUCAGUUCCCUUCAGUCUGGAACAUUCCUCAGUGUUCCGUGACCUCGGCACUCAUGCAAACAGGCUGUUCAUUCUGUGGAGUGUCCCUCAGGCGGGGCUUAUGUGGUGCUUCCUCAUGAUGAGAUUCAGGUCAUGCGUCACGUAAGUGACGCUCAUUCUCAUCGCCGUGUCCGCCAUGCGGCACAUGGGGUCAACCUGUGCUACCACUGCUGACGUUCUUUUCAAUUGCUUGGGGAAGGUGGCUCCACCAGGCGUCUCACUGCAAGUUACUUGUUACCCCUUUGUAAUUAAAAAGUACUUUGUGUGGAAGCUCUGAGACAAUGUAAACAUCCCAUUCCUUGUAACACUUUAUUCAUUUAUAUCACUGUGAACUCA